rnacentral:rRNA from 1 species
AGUGAACGCUGGCGGUAGGCCUAACACAUGCAAGUCGAACGGCAGCACAGUAAGAGCUUGCUCUUACGGGUGGCGAGUGGCGGACGGGUGAGGAAUACAUCGGAAUCUACUUUUUCGUGGGGGAUAACGUAGGGAAACUUACGCUAAUACCGCAUACGACCUACGGGUGAAAGCAGGGGAUCUUCUGACCUUGCGCGAUUGAAUGAGCCGAUUUCGGAUUAGCUAGUUGGCGGGGUAAAGGCCCACCAAGUCGACGAUCCGUAGCUGGUCUGAGAGGAUGAUCAGCCACACUGGAACUGAGACACGGUCCAGACUCCUACGGGAGGCAGCAGUGGGGAAUAUUGGACAAGGGGCGCAAGCCUGAUCCAGCCAGACCGCGUGGGUGAAGAAGGCCUUCGGGUUGUAAAGCCCUUUUGUUGGGAAAGAAAAGCAGCAGGUUAAUACCCCGCUGUUCUGACGGUACCCAAAGAAUAAGCACCGGCUAACUUCGUG